rnacentral:rRNA from 1 species
UGGGGAAUAUUGCACAAUGGGCGAAAGCCUGAUGCAGCGACGCCGCGUGAGGGAUGACGGCCUUCGGGUUGUAAACCUCUUUCAGCAGGGACGAAGCGCAAGUGACGGUACCUGCAGAAGAAGCACCGGCUAACUACGUGCCAACAGCCGCGGUAAUACGUAGGGUGCAAGCGUUAAUCGGAAUUACUGGGCGUAAAGCGCACGCAGGCGGUUUGUUAAGUCAGAUGUGAAAUCCCCGGGCUCAACCUGGGAACUGCAUCUGAUACUGGCAAGCUUGAGUCUCGUAGAGGGGGGUAGAAUUCCAGGUGUAGCGGUGAAAUGCGUAGAGAUCUGGAGGAAUACCGGUGGCGAAGGCGGCCCCCUGGACGAAGACUGACGCUCAGGUGCGAAAGCGUGGGGAGCGAACAGG